AAUUACUCGGGGCCGGGACGGCGAGGUAGUGACGACGAAUACCGAUGUUUCCAGUUACAAAGGUAAUUGGCGAUUGGAAUGAGCGCACGGCAAAGAUGUGCGGGAGUAACAAUUGGAGGGCAAGUCUGGUGCCAGCAGCCGCGGUAAUUCCAGCUCCAAGAGUGUAUACUAAAGCUGUUGCGGUUAAAAAGCUCGUAGUUAAUUUUUAAAUGCGUUUAAAAAAGAUAAAAUUUAUUUUAUUUUUUUUAAACGCGUAAAAUCACAUUUUAUGUGAUUUAAUUUAGAUUACCUUUAAAAGUAUUUAAGUAUACAAAGAAUUAUUCUUUUUAAAGGUACUAGAUGGAUUACUUUGAAUAAAAUAGAGUGUUUAAGGCAAGGAAGAUAUUUCCUGUGAAUAUUAUUAGCAUGGGAUAAUGGCGAUAUGUCUAAUUUCGUUGGGGUAAAUAGGAUUUUAAAUGGAUGGCGGACCUUUUAAUUGGUUUUUAAGGGUUCGGAUGAAUAACAAUACUUGUAUUGUUGUUAUCAGUUUAGAUCAAUUCCAUUACAAAAAAUAACCCUGACAUUUUUUAUUUUUUAGACAUGGAAUAGAAACAAAUGGGGUGGUUUAUAUUUCCUAGCGAGGGGUAAAAUCCUGUGACCUGUGAAAGAUAGACAAGAGCGAAAGCAUUCCACAAAAAUGUUUUCAUGUGAUCAAGAACGAAAGUUGGGGGAUCGAAGACGAUCAGAUACUGUCGUAGUCUCGACUAUAAACUAUGCCGACCAGGGAUUGGAAAUGAAUUCGCACUUAUGUGUGACAAUCGAAUUAUUUAAAACGACAAAUGGCGUUUUAAAAUAGACUUCUCCAGCACCUAAGAGAGAAAUCGAGUGAGUGUAUGGGCUUCGGGGGGAGUAUGGUCGCAAGGCUGAAACUUAAAGGAAUUGACGGGAGGGCACACCAGGAGUGGAGCCUGCGGCUUAAUUUGACUCAACACGGGGAAACUUACCAGGGCCAGAUAGCAGGAGGAUUGACAGCAAAUGUUUUAUUGAGAGCUCUUUCUUGAUUUGUUAGGUGGUGGUGCAUGGUCGUUCUUAGUUGGUGGUGUGAAUUGUCUGGUUAAUUCCGAUAACGAACGAGACCUUAACUUAUUAACUACGAAAAAAUAAUUGGAGCAAUUCAAUUGUUUUUUUCUUCUUAAAAGGACUAUUUAUGU
rnacentral:rRNA from 1 species